UACGGGGGGGGCAAGCGUUGUUCGGAAUUACUGGGCGUAAAGGGCUCGUAGGUGGCCAACUAAGUCAGACGUGAAAUCCCUCGGCUUAACCGGGGAACUGCGUCUGAUACUGGAUGGCUUGAGUUUGGGAGAGGGACGCGGAAUUCCAGGUGUAGCGGUGAAAUGCGUAGAUAUCUGGAGGAACCCCGGUGGCGAAAGCGCGUGACUGGGCCACAACUGACGCUGAGGAACGAAAGCCAGGGGAGCGAAAGGG
rnacentral:rRNA from 1 species